AUUGAACGCUGGCGGCAUGCCUUACACAUGCAAGUCGAACGGCAGCGGACCUUCGGGUGCCGGCGAGUGGCGAACGGGUGAGUAAUAUAUCGGAACGUACCUUUCAGUGGGGGAUAACGUAGCGAAAGUUACGCUAAUACCGCAUAUUCUGUGAGCGGGAAAGCAGGGGAUCGCAAGACCUUGCGCUGAUUGAGCGGCCGAUAUCAGAUUAGCUAGUUGGUGAGGUAAAGGCUCACCAAGGCGACGAUCUGUAGCGGGUCUGAGAGGAUGAUUCGCCACACUGGCACUGAGACACGGUCCAGACUCCUACGGGAGGCAGCAGUGGGGAAUUUUGGACAAUGGGCGCAAGCCUGAUCCAGCCAUGCCGCGUGAGUGAAGAAGGCCUCGGUGUAAGACGUCUUUCGGUCCGGGUAGGAAAGUACGCACACGGUUAAUAACCC
rnacentral:rRNA from 1 species